CAAUCAUGUCGCAUAUAUUCAAUUAUUCCAACAAUAAGGCGUUAUAUUUACGCUAUCACUCAUCCCCAAAUCAUAUCAUUUUUCUGCAAACUACCAAAACCCUAAUUUCCAAUCAUGUCUUCCAAGCAAGGUAAUGUGUGUGAGAGAUGUUUGAAUGCCGCAAAAGAAAUAAUUAUAAUAAAAAAGAUAAUUUGAAAUAGGAAAAAAAAUAUAGAUGUACUAUCUAUCAACAAAACGUUUAUUAAUAUAUAAAUGCUUGUUGUCUUGGCUAAAAUUAACAUGGUAUUGUGUGUGAGAGAUGUUUGAAUGCCGCAAAAGAAAACAGGAAGUUAUAAAAACAAAAUGUUUUUUUUUUUUUCUGAAUUUGUUAACAAGAAAGUCCCUUGUUUUCAAAAGAGGGAACUAAUAAUAUGAAUGCAUGCACCUUUAAUAAAUCUUUUUCAACACUAACUCGACUCAAAUCACAUCAGUAAAAAAAGAUUUAUUAAAGGUGCAUGCAUUCAUAUUAUUAGUUCCCUCUUUUGAAAACAACGGAAUUUCUUGUUAACAAAUUCAGAAAACAACCAUCUUGCUUUUAUAACUUUUUGUUUUCUUUUGCGACAUUCAAACAUCUCUCACACACAAUACGAUGUUGUUAAUUUUAGUCAAGACAACAAGCAUUGAUAUAUAUUAAUAAGCGUUUGGUUGAUAAAUAGUAGAUCUAUAUUAUUUUUUUUAUUUUUCUUUUUCAAAUUAUCUUUGUUAUUAUAAUAAAUAUGAAUGCUGAGAAGAUCGACCAGCUCAUGCAAGACAUAAAUCACUCACAGAUUUGGUCUAUUUGUGGCACGAAUAUAAGAUAAACUCCAUUAGUUACCAUCUGAUUUGGAUCUGAUGCUAUAAUGUUAUCUGGAGGCCUACCUACUAUAUGAAUGCACCAUGGGUUUUUCAAAAUGGGGUUAGGGUGAAGCUGGGAGGUCUUCAAAACAUAGGGCAAGGUAACGUCAAACGAAGAUGCGAGAGAGAUUGUGGCCAGACUAGAGUUGACCAACUUCUUCUUGCACUAGGACAUUUCACAACUAUAAGGCAUACAUGAUGACAUGAGUUUCGCUCAAAACUUGCUAAACAAUAGUCUGUUAUCCUUUUGCCAGAUGGUACAUCCUGAGACCUGCCUUGGGGCUUGUUAGAUGACGUUAUCAUGGGCGGAGUUGGUGAAAGUCGGCUCUUUAUCUAACCGGAACCGUCAGUUUAAGGCUUGACGGGUCAUCCACCAAUCCCAUUAUUUAUGGCAUUAUGGACCGCAGGGACAUGGCCAAAAGAUUUCCCGCACCGGUGAGAAUAGAUUUACAAACAACGGACAAAGGCUCAUUGGUUGGGUUAGACUAAAGAUGUUAGCUUUCUCUUAAUGAAAAAUUUAUAUGGACUGCAUUAACGUCAUAUCUAUGUGAUUCUAUGAAAUCUUAAUCGGUUAAUCUGUAAAGAAAUCGUUGAAGAGAAACUAAAAGAAAUUCCUACACAGGUUCAAAUUCUGGCUUUAUUUUAUUUUAUUUUAUUUAUAUUAUUAAUAUUAAUUUAUGUCCAAAAGCACGCUGAAGAUAGAAUUCGGCUUUCACUGAAGAUGAUGGCGAAGGUGAAGGACACAAAGGGGAUCGUAGGUAAUUGUGAUAUGAAUUUAUAUUAUUCAGUUGUGAAGAUUUGCUUUAGUUUUGAACCUAAGUUAGAAAAUAUGAUUAAUAUUGCUAUAACUAUAUUCUGCUACGAUGGCCUGGUCAUAUAUAAAUAAAGUGGUCACAAGCUCCUUUCGUAAAGCAUUUUGUUUGUGAAUUUGCAGGUUACGGGUGUAAGAUUAUGAAAGACUGAAUGAUUAUUAUUGAAUGAGUAGGUUACAAUAUAUAGGGAUUACGAGUAACCCUAGAAACCUAACUAAGCUCGUGGGCUCAUAGUCUAAUACUCUCCCGCAGUCGUAGCGGAUGGAACUAGAAGUUUAGACUGAAAAACAAAAACAAUAAUAAACCCUAAAAAAAUUGUCUUCGAUUUCGGUCAAAAUUCCAUAAUCUUGCAAUCUUCAAUCCAUAAUCUUCGAUACACAGUUUUGAAUGAUCUCGUAAUCCUAUAAGAGGCAACCAAUACGACAAUGCAGCGGGGGCUGGUAGCGGCGGAUCGUAAUCCUGCAGGCGGCGCGACGAAGACCGUAGUCUAAUAAGCGGCGACGACACGGCGGCAAAGGGCGGCUUGACGGAGAUGCGAAAUCAACAGGAUGAGCCGUAGCAUCAUCGUUGUGGUAAGAGACUGUAAGAACACUGGUGAAUCUAGAACCGAAAAACGAAGCUUUAUUUGAACAUGAAACUGGGAAAAAAAGGAACCGGAAACGGAAAACGAACAGCGGCUGGACAGGGCGGCGGCGGCUUAGUUAGGUUUCUAGGAUUACGAGUAACCCUAGAAACCUAACUAAGCCCGUGGGCUCAUAGUCUAAUAAUGGGUUGAUGUGGAAAUAAGGGUUAAGACUUAAGAGGUUCUAUUCGAAGAGGAGACAUCGUUUGGUAAGUUAUUGAGAGAUCCAACAAUCAUGAUAUGAUGGAACUCUCUUUGCUGGGUCUAACAGAUUAGGAAGCAAAACACUUUUUUUGGGGUGGUUAUCGCAAUCUUGAAGAUCAGAUUACCUUUCUUUAUAUGCUCAGAUGACACUGCAACGCGUUCCUUCCGUAUAGGGAUGAUUUAAAUGUUUUUAGUAGUUAUGUGAGCAUCACUCUUGAUUUGAUGUUUGUUAGUGACCUUAUUACCUUUAAAGCAAAAUAAUGGAAAAGGAUUGUGUUUGCAUGAAGAAAAGAAUGGUUGAGCAUUGUACGUUUUGAAUUAGAAUAGCUAAAUUUUAGUUCAAAGUGUUGUGAUCUGAA